rnacentral:rRNA from 1 species
UACGUAGGGUCCGAGCGUUGUCCGGAAUUACUGGGCGUAAAGAGCUCGUAGGUGGUUUGCCGCGUUGUUCGUGAAAACUCACAGCUCAACUGUGGGCGUGCGGGCGAUACGGGCAGACUAGAGUACUGCAGGGGAGACUGGAAUUCCUGGUGUAGCGGUGGAAUGCGCAGAUAUCAGGAGGAACACCGGUGGCGAAGGCGGGUCUCUGGGCAGUAACUGACGCUGAGGAGCGAAAGCGUGGGAGCGAACAGG